UUUAGCGACAUCGACCUGCUCAUUCUGCGCGAGCAGUUUGCCCACGGCUUCCUGAAUAGAAGGAUGCCAGCUUACCGCGCGAUCGACGGCGUUAUUCAACGUUAGAGUACCCGGCGCGGCAGGGUCGAGCGGCAGAUCCACUUUGCCGGAUAACGACGGUAGCUCCUGUUGUUCGUGCAAGGUUUGCGAAGAGAUAAACCGUGGCGUCUCUUCGGCAUAAAGGGAGGCUGAACAGAGGCAGCUCGCCAGCCCCCAUGCGAUAGGUGUUAACUUUCCCAUUGUCGAUCCCUUUUAAAAUAGCGCAGGUGUAUUUGUUAUUACCCCGGGCGUCUUUGCGCCCGGGGUUUUGUU
rnacentral:sRNA from 1 species